CUGGAAGCAGGGGAGAGGAAGGUGGUGUACGGCUGCAGAGGACAGGUGUCACUGCAGCCUUGGAGAAGUGGAGAGCAAAGGCAGGAGGGAAUGUGCCCAGGAGGCUGGUAAGGGCGGGAGAGGAAAGGAAGGGGCAGCCGGCUCCGGAAGCCUGGGGAGCGCGACUCGGACCCUGGCCAAGGGACCGGCCAUGGGAGCCGCCUCGGCUGGCCGGCUGGGUUCUGGGGCUCCGACACCAGGGGCCCUAAACAGCACACUCGGCUGGUGUGUCAUGGUCUGUACCUACGUACAUGUCCCCCAAGAGCCUAGAGCUCAGCAGCGGGACCUUCAGAAGCUGACUGGGCUGCGAAGGCUCAGAGCUGACGGUCUAGGAGGCGGGGCCUGGCCGGAGGAGGUGGUCACCGGGGCGGGGCCUGGGAGGGGGUCUCCCAGGCUCCCCCCUCUCGACUUCCUGUUCCCCUCGCGGUGAGCUGCGCUCCUCUGCCAGGCCCCUCCGCCUCGCUUCUCUGCCAUGGACUGUGGGCUGAAGCGGGAGCCUGAAUAACCUCUCCUGUAAGUUAGAGGUGGCGGGUGUUGUGUCCCAGCGACGGGAAGGUGACUAGGACGGCGUAGAACUCAGGCCCCAGUGCACCCGCCGGCUGGACACCUUGGGGAAAGGACUGGAGCCGCCCUGUCCCCGCUGGAUGCCAUUCAUUCCUCGUCCUUUGCAGUUUGAUGAGACCUGGACUCCAGGGACUUGAUAGGCACGAACUUAGGAUCCUCCUCCCUCAGCCUCCCAGAGUGCUGGGAUGACAGGUGAGCCCCACCACCUGGCUAAUUCACGACUUCUUGCUGAGGCCCACCUGCCUUCCCCACCUGCACACCCUGGGGCCCAGCUCCCCGUUUUCCCAGCCAGGGGACUUGGACCCACUUCACGGAGCAUGGGAACCUCUGGUCUACAGCAGAACUCCUGUGAAACCGUAGGUUUGCUGUGUGGUCUACACCGCUGGCUGUGAGUCCAACAUCCAUGCUCCCCUCUGGCUUUACUAAUAAAACCUAAUUCUG
rnacentral:lncRNA from 1 species